rnacentral:pre_miRNA from 1 species
UGGUGUUAGGUGGGCAUGUGGUGCAGUAUGAUAGUGGAAUAUACUGCAUCGCGUGUGACCUCCCUACACGAC